GAUCUCAGUAGUUAAGUCCUGCUGCGUUGUGGGUGUGUACUGCGGUUUUUUGCUGUGGGAAGCCCACUUCACUGCCAGAC
rnacentral:rRNA from 1 species